rnacentral:lncRNA from 1 species
CCAUGAAUACGUUAAAAAUAAUUGAUCCUAGAAAAGAAAGAAAUGGAGAAAACAGGUGUAGUAAACCUUGAUCAGACAUUAAAUGAUUUUAAACAUUCAAAUGGUCAAAAUAAUCAAAAGAAUCAUUACGAAAUAAGAAAUAGGAAGCUCAGAUUUAUCUUUGUCAAUCACAAGAACAGACCGCAGAUAUUCCCUCUUUUUGCCCAAAUCCCAUCCUAAGAUAUAGGCAUGGCUGCAGCGGUUGCCAUGAAGGCCAUCCAAAUUGCCCUGCCAUUAUUCUCUUAAAGAUUAAAAAAGUGAGCAUUGAAGAGAGAUGCUUGGUCUACGUGGUGAUUGCUCAAUCCAUUAUUGACUUUUAUUUAUCAUCAUAGCCUCUUCAUAAUUCAAAAACAAGAUAGUGAGAAGCAAAGAAGAAAAUAAUACAGCAAAAUUUUUGAAAAAAAGAGUAAAUCAUCAAAACUAUGAAAGAAGAAAAAAAAAGGUUGGGAGAAAAGAAGCAAUCCUCUUGAAUGUAUUAUUUCUUUCCCCAAUGAAAAUGAACUGUAUAUCCCCUAAAUACCUCAAUUAAAUAAGAACCCUAAAUUGGAAUAAAAAACUAAAGAAUGAUUUGCGUCAGACAAUGACCAUUUUACAUCAUCAAGCUUAACCGAUGCUUAACCAAUGGAAGGGCAACAAUGUCAUCAAUAUAAUAGCAAUCCCUACCACCUAAACAAGCAUUUGUAUAAAUAGUACAAAGAAUCAUUUGUUGCAUAGGACAUAGUAUUUAAUUCUGAAUAACAAACAAGUACAAACAGUAGCAUGACAAAAAAAAAAAAAUAUCUGAAAUAACAAGAAUAACCACAAAACCACAUAGUUCACCCUCAGAUGUCUCGUUGCUUCAAACAAUAAAGAUGUACCCCAGGACAAUGUAAAUAAAAAGGACUUCCCAUGGUAGAUUCAUUUUAAAAAGAAAAUCGAAAAAAAAGCUGAUAACGCACCCCAAAAUUAUACCCACACUAAGUUCUCACCGUAGAUGGUUUGCUGAAGGCAAACUCAGACUUACUCUUAUUGGACCAACUGUCUGAUUGCCAUUUUUUUUUAUCAAAUGAUUUUUAACAGUGUGAUAAUAAUUCUUAAAAUACCUAAAAUUAAAAUAGUGUGAAAGAUAACAUGUAAACGUCUCAUAAAAAUUGAUUCAAAUAAGAGGUAACAAUUUAUCUGACAUGGCAAGAACAACCCCAAUAACCACAUACGCACUCCCCUAGAUGCUUCAUUGCUUCAAACAAUAACGAUUUACCUAGACAUGAAAGUGUUUUGCAAGUAUAAAUCCAUGAUAAUGUGAGCAAAAAGGAUCUGUUCAUUUUAAAAAGAAAACUUUCUAAGUUUCGAACCCCAAAUUGCACCCAUACAAAGUUCCCAACAAAUACAGNNNNNNNNNNNNNNNNNNNNAUGUAAACUUCUCAUAGAAGCUUAAAGUGAUCCGAAUCUCAUAUGAACAAAAAAAAAACUUGAAACAAAAUUAUGAAAGCACACCAAACUUUUUAAUAUUUAAAAAUAUCAUUUUGGUUGAAAAAUAAUUUUUCUGUGAUGUCUACAUCAAAACAAUUCUCAGAAAAAUUAACACCACUUAAGCAAAUAUACCAUGAGUACAUUUAAAAUAAUUGAAACAAGAAAAGAGAAAAAAAGGAGAAACAUAUAUAAUAACCCUUGAUCAGGCAUGAAAUGAUUUUAAACAUUUAAAUAGUAAAUAUAAUCAAAAGAUCCUUUACAAAAUAAGAUAUAGGAGGCUCAGAUUCAUCUUUUGUCAAUCACAAGAACAGACCAUAGGUCUUCCCUCUUCUUGCCCAAAUCCCAUCCUAAGAGAUAGACAUGACUGAAGUGGUUGCCAUGAAGGCCAUCCAAACUGCCUCGCCAUCAUCCUAUUAAGAUUGGAAAACCGAGCAUUGAAAGAGACCAUAAAGCCUUUAUGCUUCAUACAAAUGCAUAAGAAUCUGUGACUUGCCAACACCAUGGAGAAACAAUCUUGCGUUUAAAGGCCCAAAUGGUGAUUGGUCAAAUCCAUCAUUGACUUUUAUUUAUCAUCAUAGCCUCUUCGUAAUUGAAAAGCAAGAUACCGAGAAACAAAGAUGAAAACAAUACAGUGAAAUUUAUAAAAAUAAAUAAAUAAAUCAUCAAAGCUAUUAAAAGAUAAAAAGAAAAAAGGUUGGAAGAAAAGAAGCAAUCAUCUUGAAUGUAUUAUUUCUUUCCCCACACCAAAACAAGCUCCAUAUCCCCUAAAUACCUCAGUUAAAUUAGAAACCUAAUUGAGAAUAAAAAAACUAGAGAACUAUUUAUUUUUACGGCAGACAAUGAUCAUUUAUUAUUAUUUUACAUAAUCUAGCUUAAUCAAUGCUUAACCAGGGGCAACAAUGUCAUCAACACAAUUGCAACAGCUACUACCUGAACAAGAAUUUGCACAAACGGUACAAAGAAUCAUAUACAUUAUGGGGCAUAGGAUUUAAGCCCGGAAUAACAAACAAGUACAAGCAAUAGUACGACAACAAACAUAGGAAACAAUUUAUCUGACAUGGCAAGAACAGCCCCAAUAACCACAUACGCACUCCCCUAGAUGCUUCAUUGCUUCAAACAAUAACGAUUUACCUAGACAUAAAAGUGUUUUGCAAGCAUAAAUCCAUGACAAUGUGAGCAAAAAGGUUCUGUUCAUUUUAAAAAGAAAACCUUCUAAGUUUGGAACCCCAAAUUGUACUCAUACAAAGUUCCCAACAAAUACAAUUUGCUGUAGCAAAACUCAAAGACUUUAUUUAACAAGACCAAUUAUCACAUUGCCAUAUUUUUUUUCCUCAAUUGAUUUUUAACAUCUGAUAAUAAUUCUUAAAAGUACCAAAAUUAACAUAAUGUUGAAGAUAACAUGUAAACUUCUCAUAGAAGCUUAAAGUGAUCCGAAUCUCAGAUGAACAAAAAAAAAACUUGAAACAAAAUUAUGAAAGCACACCAAACUUUUUAAUAUUUAAAAAUAUCAUUUUGGUUGAAAAAUAAUUUUUCUGUGAUGUCUACAUCAAAACAAUUCUCAGAAAAAUUAACACCACUUAAGCAAAUAUACCAUGAGUACAUUUAAAAUAAUUGAAACAAGAAAAGAGAAAAAAGGAGAAACAUAUAUAAUAACCCUUGAUCAGGCAUGAAAUGAUUUUAAACAUUUAAAUAGUAAAUAUAAUUAAAAGAUCCUGUACAAAAAAAGAUAUAAGAGGCUCAUAUUCAUCUUUUGUCAAUCACAAGAACAGACCAUAGGUCUUCCCUCUUUUUGCCCAAAUCCCAUCCUAAGAGAUAGACAUGGCUGCAGUGGUUGCCAUGAAGGCCAUCCAAACUGCCUCGCCAUCAUCAUAUUAAGAUUGGAAAACCGAGCAUUGAAAGAGACCAUAAAGCCUUUAUGCUUCAUACAAAUGCAUAAGAAUCUGUGACUUGCCAACACCAUCGAGAAACAAUCUUGCGUUUAAAGGCCCAAAUGGUGAUUGGUCAAAUCCAUCAUUGACUUUUAUUUAUCAUCAUAGCCUCUUCGUAAUUGAAAAGCAAGAUACCGAGAAACAAAGAUGAAAACAAUACAGUGAAAUUUAUAAAAAUAAAUAAAUAAAUCAUCAAAGCUAUUAAAGGAUAAAAAGAAAAAGGUUGGAAGAAAAGAAGCAAUCAUCUUGAAUGUAUUAUUUCUUUCCCCACACCAAAAGAAGCUCCAUAUCCCCUAAAUACCUCAGUUAAAUUAGAAACCUAAAUGAGAAUAAAAAACUAGAGAACUAUUUGUUGUUUGCGGCAAACAAUGAUCAUUUAUGAUUAUUUUACAUCAUCUAGUUAAUAAAUGCUUAACCAAUGCAGGGGCAAC